rnacentral:rRNA from 1 species
AUUGAACGCUGGCGGCAUGCCUUACACAUGCAAGUCGAACGGCAGCACGGGAGCAAUCCUGGUGGCGAGUGGCGAACGGGUGAGUAAUAUAUCGGAACGUGCCCAGUCGUGGGGAUAACGUAGUGAAAGCUACGCUAAUACCUCAUACGAUCUACGGAUGAAAGCGGGGGAUCGCAAGACCUCGCGCGAUUGGAGCGGCCGAUAUCAGAUUAGGUAGUUGGUGAGGUAAAGGCUCACCAAGCCAACGAUCUGUAGCUGGUCUGAGAGGACGACCAGCCACACUGGAACUGAGACACGGUCCAGACUCCUACGGGAGCAGCAGUGGGGAUUUGGACAAUGGACGCAAGUCUGAUCCAGCCAUUCCGCGUGC